rnacentral:rRNA from 1 species
GACGAACGCUGGCGGCGUGCUUAACACAUGCAAGUCGUACGGUAAGGCCCUUUCGGGGGUACACGAGUGGCGAACGGGUGAGUAACACGUGAGUAACCUGCCCACAACUUUGGGAUAACGCUAGGAAACUGGUGCUAAUACUGGAUAUGUGCUCCUGCUGCAUGGUGGGGGUUGGAAAGCUCCGGCGGUUGUGGAUGGACUCGCGGCCUAUCAGCUUGUUGGUGGGGUAGUGGCCUACCAAGGCGGCGACGGGUAGCCGGCCUGAGAGGGUGACCGGCCACAUUGGGACUGAGAUACGGCCCAGACUCCUACGGGAGGCAGCAGUGGGGAAGAUUGCACAAGGGGCGCAAGCCUGAUGCAGCAACGCCGCGUGCGGGAUGACGGCCUUCGGGUUGUAAACCGCUUUCAGCAGGGACGAAGCUUUUUGUGACGGUACCUGCAGAAGAAGCACCGGCUAACUACGUG